rnacentral:misc_RNA from 1 species
CAAAGGGCAGCAAACUCGCGAGAGCUAGCAAAUCCCAUAAACCGUGGCUCAGUUCAGAUCGUAGGCUGCAACUCGCNUACGUGAAGCAGGAAUCGCUAGUAAUCGCAGGUCAGCAUACUGCGGUGAAUACGUUCCCGGGCCUUGUACACACCGCCCGUCACACCAUGGAAGUUGGCCAUGCCCGAAGUCGUUACUCCAACCCUUGUGGAGGAGGACGCCGAAGGUGGGGCUAAUGACUGGGGUGAAGUCGUAACAAGGUAGCCGUACCGGAAGGUGCGGCUGGAUCACCUCCUAACAGGGAGACAACAAAAUGUUUAAUAUUAUUAUUUUGUCACCUUAGGUCGAUCGGUAUCUCACGUUCUUAACUAUUUAAGAAUUUCAAUUCCUAAGUUUUUCUAGGUCACACCCAUUAUUUUUCCUGGGCCAUUAGCUCAGGUGGUUAGAGCGCACCCCUGAUAAGGGUGAGGUCCCUGGUUCAAGUCCAGGAUGGCCCAUAUCUCUAUGUUGGGGGUAUAGCUCAGUUGGUAGAGCGCCUGCUUUGCAAGCAGGAUGUCAGCGGUUCGAGUCCGCUUACCUCCACUGAUUACCACCUCUUCCAUAAUCUGUAGAAAGGAAAUUUUUUGAGUUGUGAUUAACUUCUGAACGAAUCUAGCUUCCUAAUGAAAGCAUUAAGAUGCUGGACUCAUUGAAUUAAUUUCAUUGUUUUCAGAGAACCUUGACAACUGCAUAGAUUAUUUUUAAAGACAAUAAGCAUCUUUAAUGAUGCAGAUUUAUUAUUUGUGCGAAUGCAUUAAUAACAAUUCUAUUAAGCUGAUGCUUCAAUUUUGAAGUUAUUGGUCAAGCUACAAAGGGCUCACGGAGGAUACCUAGGCACACAGAGGCGAUGAAGGACGUGGUUACCUGCGAUAAGUCUCGGGGAGUGGAAG